GUUGCAUUGAGAUCAGUUUCUUCAUGUCUUUGCUGAAGAUAAAAUGCUUUUAAAGGAUUCAUCGUCCAGUCAAAUAAAGGAUCAUACAGCAGCACCUAAGAACAGGUUACAAAACUGCACGUGUAUACCUUGCAACCAGCUGCAGGAAAGUAAGAGAUUUUUGAAACUGACAAUAUCAAUUUUUGAAGUGUAGAAUAAGUCUCAGAAAAAAUGCCACUUUUAGAUAAUAGACAAACUGAGUGGAGGGAUGUGAUGGGAAUCUUGCUACUGAAGAGCAGAUACUGAAGGUGCUUUGAUUUCACAGUUGUUCUACCUUUCCACCCUACUGCACUUGGACAAAAAUGCUUGGGAUAAAAAGAAAGAAGUAUCCCUACAGAAUAAAUAUCAUCCUGUCUUCCUUCUCUGCAUCUCUGCUAUCUGCAAAGAAAUUCUUCUUUGAAAACAAUAGCAUCCACUGAAAGAUGCUUCAGCAUGAAUGGGAUCUGGAGGUGAAAAACAGAAACCAGUCCUGGAUGUAAUGCCAGUACAAUGCUAGUGACACUCACAUAUACAUCUACUGUUACUCAUACCUGGCAAAUUUUGUUUCUUCAAUGAACCUAACAAAACCCUCCAUGUAAUGGUGAAUUAGUGAAGACUAACCGGAGAAAACCCACAUGGAAAAAAGAAGAAUUUGCAAUAUUCACACAGACAAUAACCAGAUGGAAUUGAGCCUAAACUACUGAAACUUGUGAGGUGGCACAAUUAACCACUGUGUUAAGUCCUAAGCCAACCAAAAUUCAAAAGCUUGACAUUAACAGACAAUCCCAUAUGGAUGGCUAAUACAUAAAAAAUAAUAAAAAUAAAACAGUUCUUAAUUUUUAAAUUCAAAUAUUAAUUUAGAUUAUUCUUCUUGGUGAUACAAAAAUAAUGUGAUUGCUGUUGCUUUCUUUAUCAAUUCCUGCUGGGUGACAACUGAAAAAAUUAAUUAGAAAUUGAUAUUUUUAAAUGUUUGUGUGAAUUUACAUUCAUUCUAUACGCUUAUACAGUACAUGUCUACUUCACUGAUAUUUGCACUGAAUAUAAUUUACCAGCCAUCUUUACAUUAUAAUUUUUUUUAACUUUGAACGUGGACGGGGCAAAGACAUGGUAAUCAAUACUGCUGACGCACAACUCCUGAAGACUGGGUCAAGUGCUGUUUCUUUCCUGUUUAAUUUCCAGUGCUUUCAAAAAGUUUUUUCUCUGUACAAUCCUAAUAUGAACUACGCAGCAUCAGGAAAUGGACAGAUGAACAGACAUUUGUGUGUUAUGUUUAAGUCAGGGUCACUACUCUGGCUUCUGUUUAAAUUCCUUAUUUAUGUCCUUUCUGCUCAUUAUUCAGUUAUUUGGAUAUUAUUUAUGUUGAUGUUGUUAAUUAUGAAUUUUAUUUGCAUAAUGAUGUAUUUUUUGUUAUCAAUUUUGCUUAUUGCUUGGUUCCUAUGUGUGGAUGCUUUUUCUGCUAUGACCCUUUGUUUUUUGUUGGUGUUUCUCUUACCUGUCAGUCUCUCUUGAGGGACUAAGGGUCAUUUGAAGCCGUAAUUCUCUCCAAAGUACAUUGUAUGCACUUGGUGUUGGUGACUUCUCUUUACAUUUAUUGUAUAUCUUUGGAUUA